CUCAAGUGGAGAGGAGGAGGGUCUUCUCCCAGAAUUGGAUGGAUCGAUGGACAUAAUUUAUAAUCGGAAAAGAAAAGCAUGCACUAUGAGACGUAAUAAUAAAAAAAGAAGAACUAUAUGAAUCCCCUGUUUUCGACCCAUGAAGGGACACACAAGGCAGUGCUCGACAUUGGUUGAUCAGGUUUUGUUGAUGGGUAGGGGAAGGUUUGGAUCAUAACGAUAAGGGUAGUGGG